UUUUUUUUUUUUUUUUAAUGCAAAACGGUUUGUUUUGUGUUAUUAUGGCGCAGAGCUCUGCGCUAGUAUCAAGCAUCAGGAGACAAUUUCCCUGUCAAACACUUCAAAUGUCUAGUUGAAACAGAUGGGAAAAUUGAGGCGGAAGAUAGGAAAUGUCCAUAUUGUGAGCUAGCUGCUCUCUUCCAGCCAUGUAGCAAGCUCUCUCGGUUUUAGUUCCCAACACAUGAUUUUGGUACAUAGUUCAGAACUGAGGCAGGAUAAAGAAAUCAAGAAUGGACUGAUGUAUUGAAUUAGCUCACCAAUGGUCAGCUGCAUAUUGGAUUUCUUUGAAACAGACUUGGAUAGAUUUUAACUCAGAUGGAGAGAUAGAAGAACAGAGGGCAAAUGAAAUUUUUCACUGGUCAAAAAUCAAAGAUUUUAAAAAUUUACAGAUUUUCAAAUUAUUCCCAGUACAGGUGAAGACUUCAGCAUGGCAAGCAUAAACCUAUUAAAAUGCGGUCUCUCUAUUCUAGCUGUCUUGUGCGGACCCCUUCGAAGUUUAAUCCACAGGUCUUGUCUCCUGUCAAAAAAGCCCUCAUAUAACAACUUGGAGACCCUGAAGCCCAUGGAUCCACCACAAGAUGUCGCUAGCAGAGAACAACCAAGUAGAGAGUGGCAUUAUUGGGAAGUGCACAGAUAUCCAUGGUUCCUGUCAUCAUGCUACCAUCACACAUGUAAUUUUGCAAAAAAAUGCAGACAAUUGGUGUCUGAGGAAGAGAGGAAAGGAGAGCAACUAUCACUGAAAUAAUAUUGUGACUUGGAUUGCCAUGAAUCUCCAUCUCUUCUUGUGCUGCUGCUAUUGUAUAUAUGUAUCACUAUGCAAACUAGUGAAAUUACAGUGAUAGAAGAGAAAGUUAAAAAAAAAAAAACCCUUUGGUAUUGCAAUUCAGAGAAAAUGAUGUAGCAAGAAAGCCUAAUUGUGACUUUAAAGUGUCAUUUUUCUGUAAUAAAGCUACAAUAUUACCUAUGUAGCAGGCAUGAAAAGGGGAAAAAUGGCUGAUAUAAAAUUAGAAGUGCCUGAAAAUCAGGGUCACUUUAGAGACUUUUGUGAUCUCCUGUAAUGUGACAUAAACCACCUAUUGUAUUUUUGCUGGGAAAUUUGUAGCUAAGGUCAGUGUAGCAGAAAAUAAAACUUGGGGGUUUUUGUGCUAGAAUGAGAGUUGUGUUCUUUAUCAAACCAUUCACAGAGGAUGGUGCCUGUUCAAAUUUACAUAAAGCAUGCUAUAAUGUAUGUUAGGCUGUAUUCUAUCAUCUUUGCUGCUCCCUGUCAGUAGGAAGAAGCAAAAUGUUUGAUUUUGCAUCAUCAGAAUGCUUGACUUUAGCUACAAGCAGCCUUUUUUACUUGGUCUCCUUAACACAGCUUACUACUCUGGCAGUAGUUUUCCUUCUUCUCCCUGUGCUUGCUGCAGCCUGACACCAUCUUCCUGGUGCGGUUCAGGCUCUGCCAUGCUUGGCAUGGACGGAGCCCCUGGUGGGGAUCUGGCUGGUUCCAGUGCUGCCGUGUUAGAGGGCAGUCAGCCUCCUUCUAGCUCUGUGCUCAGGUCUGUAGCCCUGCUGAGAUCUAGUCUUCAGUCUGACCUGGAUUUUCCCCACAAAAAGCAAGAGUCCCCAGAGAUCAGUUCUGCCUUCUGUGUUCUCCCCUUCAGGAUUUGUCCCUUUGGUAGUGGUCAUGCAUGCAGAGAGCUGAGCAUCUACCAAAGUCAAGGUUUGAUAAAUGUUUAGUAAAGGGAACCCAUACAGCAUGGCCAGGAAAGUGAUGUGGUUUCAUAGGGAUCUCACUUGAUGUCUGGACUGCAGUCUAAGGCCAGUGAUUUAACAAGUUCAAUUCCUCAUUCAUAUAAGUUUAUUUAAUAAUAAAUCUGAAAUAAAUACUUGAAA